UAUUUGGCUAUUAUUAUGUUGUGCUAUCUUCACUUGUUAGAGUAAGCUAGUAUAUCGGAUGACAUUUUUCUACUUAUUAAAUUCUUAUAUUGUAGUUAACCUUGCAUACUAAAAGAUAUAGGCUACUGCUCUACUGUGAGUUUGAUUUUGAUGUAUCAGUGAGAAUUGAAUUUCGUCAUUCAUAUGACUUCCGGGUAGAGACUGGGCUCUAGUGACCUAAUUUCCCGCCAAACUGCAGCUGACGCCAGAUUUACACUAUUUCAAGCUACCUGCGAACAAAGAAAGACGUUCUAAAUCCAGUAAAGUUACUCUUUCUUCAACGGGGAACGUUUCUAAUAAGUAUUCUUCAAAUUCCUUCAAAAACUUGAAAUGGCUAGUUUGGAUCAAGUUGUAAAUGCCGACGCAGAGGAAGCAUUUGAAGGAGAAGAUGACGAAGAUUUCUUUCAAGACAUUGAUGUACUUCAGAGCCAUGGCAUU